rnacentral:lncRNA from 1 species
AACCCCGUCUCUACUAAAAAUACAAAAAUUGAGGCCAGGUGCAGUGGCUCAUGCCUGUAAUCACAGCACUUUGGGAAGGUGAGGCUGGUCUCAAUCUCCUGACCUCGGGAUCCAUCUGCCUGGUCCUCCCAAAGUGCUGGGAUUACAGGCGUGAGUCACCGUGCCCGGCGAGAAGCAACUCUUAAAAUACUUUAUUCCUUCCUCUAGGACCCUUUAAAUGGUGAAAAUGGGCAGAUGAAUAGCAAUAAGUGGACCUUUGUUACUCUUCUGAGUUAGAAAAAUUCUAAUUUAGUACACUCUGAACAAAGCUUAUUAUACUUACUUAAGAUGUGUUUUGAUUUGGUGUUCAGAAAGCAACCUGACAAUGAUAAUACUGUAACUAUGAUAAAAUUGAGAAUAAAAAGAUUUUAUUUAGAAA